CACGGGUGAGUAACGCGUAUCCAACCUGCCGUCUACUCUUGGACAGCCUUCUGAAAGGAAGAUUAAUACAAGAUGGCAUCAUGAGUCCGCAUGUUCACAUGAUUAAAGGUAUUCCGGUAGACGAUGGGGAUGCGUUCCAUUAGAUAGUAGGCGGGGUAACGGCCCACCUAGUCUUCGAUGGAUAGGGGUUCUGAGAGGAAGGUCCCCCACAUUGGAACUGAGACACGGUCCAA
rnacentral:rRNA from 1 species